ACAGUCUGUUACAAAACUUUGAAACCAUUAGCAAAAAAUUAUUUUCUUCAACUGCAAGCUUAUGGAGAAUUUGGUGUAAUAUAAAAUAGAAUUUUGUACAAGUGAUCAAAACCUGAUAUUCAGUGAAAGGAAAUUUCCUAAUUACUGGGGGAAUGGAGUUUAUAUAGCCAUCUGCUGUAAUUAUGACAUUCACCUUGCUAUUACAACAUAUAGACUGAGAAGAAAGUCCAAAUACAGUGUUUAAGGAAGCUAAUGGAUCUAUUGACCCAUGAACAAGAGCCUAUGAUUAUCCUCUAUACAAAGAUAAUGGAGAAAUCAUGCCUAUUGGUUAUAAAAAUAAAAGUAAAGUAUAAGAGUGUAACAGCACAAUUAAAAGCAUAAAGAUUCAAUAUUUCAAAAAGAAUGUCCACGGUGCAAUAGACCUUUUUUAUGGGCAAAUUUAGGCAUUAGCCUUUUUGGUAUGUAAAAAGAAGACGCCAGUGACGCAAUGAGUUAUUAAGGUAAUUCCUAUUGGAGAGAGACAAAUAGCAAGGUCACGUGUCUUACCAGGAGGAGUUCCACAGCAGAGGC
rnacentral:misc_RNA from 1 species